rnacentral:rRNA from 1 species
GAUCUGGAGGAAUACCGGUGGCGAAGGCGGCCCCCUGGACAAAGACUGACGCUCAGGUGGGAAAGCGUGGGGAGCAAACAGGAUUAGAUACCCUGGUAGUCCACGCCGUAAACGAUGUGGACUUGGAGGUUGUGCCCUCGAGCGGUGGCUUCCGGAGCUAACGCGUUAAGUGGACCGCCUGGGGAGUACGGCCGCAAGGUUAAAACUCAAAUGAAUUGACGGGGGCCCGCACAAGCGGUGGAGCAUGUGGUUUAAUUCGAUGCAACGCGAAGAACCUUACCUACUCUUGACAUCCAGAGAACUUUCCAGAGAUGGAUUGGUGCCUUCGGGAACUCUGAGACAGGUGCUGCAUGGCUGUCGUCAGCUCGUGUUGUGAAAUGUUGGGUUAAGUCCCGCAACGAGCGCAACCCUUAUCCUUUGUUGCCAGCGGUCCGGCCGGGAACUCAAAGGAGACUGCCAGUGAUAAACUGGAGGAAGGUGGGGAUGAC